GCCGAAGUGGUGGAAUUGGUAGACACGCCGUCUUGAGGGGGCGGUGGCGUGAGCCGUGCCGGUUCGAGUCCGGCCUUCGGCACCA
rnacentral:tRNA from 1 species